rnacentral:rRNA from 1 species
UUCCUACGGGGGGCUGCAGUGGGGAAUAUUGGACAAUGGGCGCAAGCCUGAUCCAGCCAUGCCGCGUGGGUGAAGAAGGCCCUAGGGUUGUAAACCCCUUUCAGCGGGGAAGAUAAUGACGGUACCCGCAGAAGAAGCCCCGGCUAACUCCGUGCCAGCAGCCGCGGUAAUACGGAGGGGGCUAGCGUUGUUCGGAAUUACUGGGCGUAAAGCGCGCGUAGGCGGACCUGCAAGUCGGUGGUGAAAGCCCGAGGCUCAACCUCGGAACUGCCUUCGAGACUGCGGGGCUCGAGUCCGGGAGAGGUGAGUGGAAUUCCUAGUGUAGAGGUGAAAUUCGUAGAUAUUAGGAGGAACACCAGUGGCGAAGGCGGCUCACUGGCCCGGUACUGACGCUGAGGCGCGAAAGCGUGGGGAGCAAACAGGAUUAGAUACCCCGGUAGUC